UCAAACAGCUAGGGGAGCCUUCGGGCUGAGAGUGAGCGUAGGAGUUCUGACCCUUGAACCUGAUGUGGUUUGUACCGCCGGAGGAAAGCUAGCACUCAAGUGC
rnacentral:ncRNA from 2 species